rnacentral:rRNA from 1 species
GGACCCGCACAAGUAGUGGAGCAUGUGGUUUAAUUCGAAGAUACGCGCAGAACCUUACCAACACUUGACAUGUUCGUCGCGACUCUAAGAGAUUAGAGUUUUCGGUUCGGCCGGACGAAACACAGGUGCUGCAUGGCUGUCGUCAGCUCGUGUCGUGAGAUGUUGGGUUAAGUCCCGCAACGAGCGCAACCCUCACUUUUAGUUGCCAUCAUUAAGUUGGGCACUCUGAAAGAACUGCCAGUGAUAAGCUGGAGGAAGGUGGGGAUGACGUCAAGUCCUCAUGGCCCUUACGUGUUGGGCUACACACGUGCUACAAUGGUAGUGACAAUGGGUUAAUCCCCAAAAAGCUAUCUCAG